GGUCCCGGCGGCGGCGGCGGGCCGGAAGCGUGGCGGUGUUAAAGGCCCGCGGCCGCCGGUCGGCCGCUGCUGUCUCGCGUGUCCCCGCUUCCCUCACGUCUCCCCGGCGGCGGCCAUGGACGCGCGGGCACGGGCCAAGCGCUACGAGAAGCUCGAUUUCCUCGGGGAGGGACAGUUCGCCACGGUAUACAAAGCGAGGGAUAAGAACACCAACCAGAUCGUGGCAAUCAAAAAGAUUAAACUUGGGAAUAGAUCAGAAGCUAAAGAUGGAAUCAACAGGACAGCCCUCAGGGAGAUAAAGUUGUUACAGGAGCUAAGCCAUACAAAUAUUAUUGGUCUUCUAGAUGCAUUUGGCCACAAAUCCAAUAUUAGUUUGGUGUUUGAUUUUAUGGAAACAGAUCUAGAGGUUAUUAUAAAGGAUAGUAGUAUUGUGUUGACUCAAGCUCACAUCAAAGCAUACAUGCUGAUGACACUUCAAGGAUUAGAAUAUUUACAUCAACACUGGAUUCUACACAGGGAUCUUAAGCCAAAUAAUCUGUUGUUAGAUGAAAACGGGGUUUUAAAAUUGGCUGACUUUGGCUUGGCAAAAUCUUUUGGAAGCCCAAACAGAGUUUAUACACACCAAGUAGUAACAAGGUGGUACCGAGCCCCAGAAUUACUGUUUGGUGCUAGAAUGUAUGGUGUUGGUGUUGAUAUGUGGGCUGUUGGUUGUAUUUUAGCUGAGUUGCUCCUCAGGGUUCCUUUCUUGCCAGGAGACUCUGAUCUUGACCAGCUGACAAGGAUAUUUGAAACACUGGGCACUCCGACGGAAGAACAGUGGCCUGAGAUGACAAGUCUUCCAGAUUAUGUCACAUUUAAGCCUUUCCCUGGAAUGCCGCUUCAGCAUAUCUUCAGUGCAGCUGGUGAUGAUUUGCUUAGUCUUCUGCAAGGCUUAUUCACUUUUAAUCCUUGUGCUAGGGUUACAGCUACUCAGGCAUUGAAACAGAAGUAUUUCAGUAAUCGACCAGGACCCACUCCAGGAAAUCAACUACCCAGACCCAACUGUCCUGCAGAGGUUGUAAAGGAGCAACAAAAUGCACUUUUAAAUUUAAAAAGGAAAAGAACAGAAGGAAUAGAUCAAGCCUCAAGAUUGCAAUAAACGAUGGAGGGAGAUCCAGCUGGGAAAACUAUACCAGCCCUACUGUCAACCUGUGGCUGUUGAACAUUUCAUAGUGCAGAUACUGUGCUCAGCUUUGUUGCCUGACUUCCAGCAUAACUGUGUUGCAAAGUGGCUGCUGGGCAACCAGACUUCUUCAAUGGAAAGAAACAAGCCAGUAGCUGCUGUUGAUGUGCAGCCUAACCCCGUGCCCACCCCUGUUGUGCAGUGGAUUUCAGGGAUACCUGGCAGCAUUCUGACUGGACUUCAAAGUCCUGAAACACUCAGCCAUUAAUACAGGUACAGAAUCUUUCAGUGAGUAUACUCACACCUAACUCUUGGGCAUAACAAAUAGAGCUUGUAUGGCAGUGGCAAUUUUGUGUUGUACCAGCUCUGCUGUGAGAGUUACAUCAUUCCCUUUUUGUCAAACACAGCAUAUGCCUAGACCACACCCUGGCCUGAAGGGAACCUUUUCCAGUAGAACAAGGAACAAUCCUCCAAGCUGCUAUUGGCAAAACUUGUCAAGUAGAUACUGAGUUUGAGCAUUUGUUCACUGUGCUCUGUAAUAGAGGCUGAAGAGAGAGGACACUGAGCAUUUUGUGACCUAUGCUGCUGAGCUGUGUGCUUCCAGUCAUGUGUCUACCACAGCAGACUUGAAUAAAAAAACAGUGCUGCUAUAUAAUAGGUCAAGAACCAUUCUCUUCCAAAUACCACACUGGAAUUUGUUUGUCAUACUGUGCACUGCAGAGACUGAGGUUACUUGUGACAUGGAGAGGCAAGACUCCUAGCAGUCGUGUCUUCACCUCAUCUCCUUGAUUCUUCCUUAGUGCCAACACUGUAUGAUCCCUCCAGCCUUUAUGCUCUUUUGACAAAGAAGCUUAGAGCCAGGAUGAGGUGUAACACUGUUGCUUUUUAUUUGUGGUAUGUUCUUAUCUAUGGUGUAGCCUCCAUACUGUCAGCAUUCCAGGCAGCUCUGUUAGUUCUUCGCUUCUACCUGUUUCUUCUUUGUUUUGUGACUGUUCCUCUUCCCUUGACUUGCUGCAUAUACGCUGUUCUAUUAACUCUUGCUUGGACGCUUCUUCUGGUGCAUGGUCACUUAUGCUCCAUGUACACCAGUAUAAUGAUUCCUUUACAAAUCUCUAAAAUGAUAGCAGGUUUCACCUGACUUUUAGUUUGUCUGGUUGAGAUAGGGGAACUUCUUGGAGAGCUAAAUUGAGUUCUUUGAACACUCUUCACAAGCUGUAGUGACGUAUAGUAGUGUGAGAGGCUGGGAAAGAGACAUGCAUGGCUGUAGUCCUUUGGGGCAUGAGAUACAGUCCAGUGUAGGAUAACCUUCUGUUAAUUCUUUUCCCAAAGGCCUGAUGGGUAUUAGAUUUAUUCCUCCUAUAACCCACCACCACCACCUGGAAGGCACCAUCAGCAGCUCUGUUAUUGCUAGCUUGAGAACUCCAUCUUGCAUUUCUCGAACACACCUUAAUCACUGGUGCAAACUUUGUUCAUCUUUUUUUUUUUUGUAUUUCUUUUUCAAACUUACCUAAGUAGAACUGGAAUAAAAUCUAAGUUUUGAUGCCAUUGAAAUAUCCUCAUGUCAUCUCUCUGUUCAGUUCUAAGUUUAUUUUUUUUACUCCAUUUGUGAGAAACUUAUUCAGCGAACUAUCAUUUCUUUUUAGAAACCCUUACUAUUUCAGACAGUUACUUAGGGAGUUUCUGUUUUCCUUCCAAGAAUUAAAUCUGCAGACAGGCAGGCAGGUCCUGUAUGAGAAUUUUCUGAAAAACUUGCUGUGUAGUCAGCACGGAGGCUGCCAGCGUUGUGACUGUUUCUUCUAGUGCUGUCAGUUCAAACUGUACCCAGAAACCUGCAUACUAACAGCAUUCACCACUGCCAUAAGAACACAAUAGUAUGCAAGCAAAGGAGGAGGAUAAGGUGGCAUUUUGCUCUUAAUUAACAUGUGUAAUGGAAUGUGGUUUAUUGCUUACUCCAAGAGAUUUGUACCACUUUUGGAGGGAUGCUGGCAGUUGCACUGACCUGACUUUGACAACAGAAUGUGGACUUUGUGCUUCGUUUUUGAAAAACCUCCAGUUUGGGCCAGACUGGUAGGCAGGUAUCUUCCAAUAGUACUUAGGCCGUUCAUCAAGCUUAACUGCAGGAGUUCAAAUGUUGAUAUACAUUCAGACAUUUUUCCUGCCACCGGAGGUAGUGUCUGUCAGAUAAAUGAGGCAGGUAGUCAGAUGCGGUAACAAUUUUACCUGUCUUCCUGAUACGUGUUUUUCUGAGAACUGUGGCUCAGCCAACGUGGAGCUCCUGUGAGAUGGAAAACUGGCCUGACUCUCGGCAUGUAGCUUAUGCCUGCAUUACUUCAUAUUCUUGUAGGACUUCUUUAAUAAGACCCUUUACUUUGACCUUAUCUAGUAACCUGGGGGCACGCAUGUUUUCUUUUUUCCAUUUACUCAUUAACUCCAGUAAGGCUAAAUAAGGCAGCACCAGACUCCCAGCAGCGGGCUGCUUACCUCAGUGUCAGGAAUGUGUAAAUGUGCCUGCGAACUCUACUGUCUCCUGCUAGCACAAUGUGACCUUAGUGCCACCAGAGUUAAAUGUCUAUGACAGUUACUUGUAAGGUAAAGGCAUUAAGUAACCUGAGAUGUCAUUAAUAAAAACCUGAUUUAGGAGUUAGAAGUUGCCCUGCAUACACUUAACAACAGGUCAGAAAGAAUGACACUUACAACUGGUUGUAC